rnacentral:lncRNA from 1 species
UUUAUAUCUACACCUCCCUUUAUGUUCUACUAAAAAUACUUAAAAGUAAUUACAAAAGAAAGACAUCCAAUGAUGCUUAGUUGGCCCAUAUCUUCUAUUUGUUGGGCUUGAGCUGAAGCUUGAACUUGUAUUUGGGCUUGGGCUUGGGCUUUUUCUAUCAUGGGCUUGGGCCUCUUCCAUCAUCCCCUCCCUCUUGAAAAGGGUUUGUCCUCAAAUCCAAUGCUUCUUCUUCAUCGUCAUUAUGUGGAUGUAUGUGGCUGGAUGGUUUC